rnacentral:lncRNA from 1 species
UCAGUGCUGGAGUCUUUUCAAAUCGAGGCGACCCGAAAAGAUUCUUUCAAAAUUUCUGCUGGAGCGUUGUCUCAGGUACGGUGCAAUAAUGAUUCUGUCAGUCAUCAGCCAUCUGCCACGACGAGUGGGACACGCGGCAGUUGUAGGUCGGCCAAAGGAGAUCUGCAAUCAUUAUUGUGUCGGAUCCUGAGGUCUAUUUAAACCCAUCCCCCUCCUUC